rnacentral:rRNA from 1 species
AGUGAACGCUGGCGGUAGGCCUAACACAUGCAAGUCGAACGGCAGCACAGUAAGAGCUUGCUCUUACGGGUGGCGAGUGGCGGACGUGUGAGGAAUACAUCGGAAUCUACUUUUUCGUGGGGGAUAACGUAGGGAAACUUACGCUAAUACCGCAUACGACCUACGGGUGAAAGCAGGGGAUCUUCGGACCUUGCGCGAUUGAAUGAGCCGAUGUCGGAUUAGCUAGUUGGCGGGGUAAAGGCCCACCAAGGCGACGAUCCGUAGCUGGUCUGGGAGGAUGAUCAGCCACACUGGAACUGAGACACGGUCCAGACUCCUACGGGAGGCAGCAGUGGGGAAUAUUGGACAAUGGGCGCAAGCCUGAUCCAGCCAUACCGCGUGGGUGAAGAAGGCCUUCGGGUUGUAAAGCCCUUUUGUUGGGAAAGAAAAGCAGCAGGUUAAUACCCCGCUGUUCUGACGGUACCCAAAGAAUAAGCACCGGCUAACUUCGUG